rnacentral:rRNA from 1 species
UACGUAGGGGGCUAGCGUUGUUCGGAAUUACUGGGCGUAAAGGGCGCGUAGGCGGUCGAUCAAGUCGGGGGUGAAAGCCUGUGGCUUAACCACAGAAUGGCCUUCGAUACUGUUUGGCUUGAGACCGGAAGAGGUUAGUGGAACUGCGAGUGUAGAGGUGAAAUUCGUAGAUAUUCGCAAGAACACCAGUGGCGAAGGCGGCUAGCUGGGCCGGUUCUGACGCUGAGGCGCGAAAGCGUGGGGAGCAAACAGG